rfam:Triticum aestivum genome assembly, contig: Triticum_aestivum_CS42_TGACv1_scaffold_597961_7BS
CACGUAGACCCUCUGUUUUAAAUUACUUGACUUUUAUUUGUCUAGAUACGAAUGUAUCUAUGCUUGUUUAGUGUCUAGAUACAUCCGUAUCUAGACAAAUGGAGGUCAAGUAAUUUGGAACGGAGGGAGUAGAGU